AAGUCGUAACAAGGUAACCGUAGGUGAACCUGCGGUUGGAUCAUUAAAAAGAUCUAGCCUGAACUGGGGCCGAUGGACAUCUGUCCUUCGGUGCUAAACCAGGCUUUUCUCACCUAAAAAGUGAGUAAACAUCAUGUGAACUGUUCUGUCUCUGGCGGUUGGAUGGGUCAAACCAUCUGUCAGCAUCCGAGGUCUCCUCGGUGUGCCGUGGACAAGCCGCCAAUGGUGUAUGUUUCAUACAAACUUUUUGUUUCAUUAUAAUUGUCUGACCUACUUUUGUAUCUAAAAUAUACAAAAACAACUUUUGGCAACGGAUCUCUUGGCUCCC
rnacentral:misc_RNA from 1 species